UUUAGGGUUUAGGUUUAGGGUUUAGAGUUGAUGUUUUAGGGUUUAGAUUUGAAGGUUUAGAGUUUAGGGUUUAGAAUUGAUGUUUCGGGGUUUAGAGUUUAGAGUUGAUGUUUCAUGGUUUAGGGUUUCGGGUUUAGAGUUGAUGUAGGGUUUAGGGUUUAGAGUUGAUGUUUCGGGUUUAGGGUUUAGGGUUUAGGGUUUAGAGUUGAUGAUUAAAGGUUUAGGGUUGAUGAUUUAGGGUUUAGAGUUAAUGUUUUAAAUUUAGAUAAGUUAACCAAAUGUUUUUUUUUGUCAAAGUUAAUCAAAAGUUUAUAAAUGUCUUUUACCCUUCAUUAAAGAUGAAGGUAAAAGUGGUUAGUGUAAAUAUGAAAAGUGGUACUUUGAAAAUAGUAUUUUGAAAAUGGUAUUUUGAAAAUGGUAUUUUUGGCAAUUUCCCUAGAUUUUGAUCCUUGCUUAGAAAUCACAUAUUUGUUUUUCACUUCUUGAUCCAAAUUUUAUUUAAAGAUAACUAUUAUUUUUUAAUUUGGAUCUUAGAAAUUGAGUUUUAAUGUUUUAUCAAUUUUUUUCUUUCAAAGUGUGGUAUUUGUUCGGAAUAGAUUUAAAGAUGAUAUGUGUGAUUUAAUAAUAUAGAUAUUCUAUAUUGUAGACCAAUGUGUUUUCAUUAUUAAAAUGUAAUAACAUUAUGAAUUGUCAGUUUUAAAUUGAAAAUGAUUUUCUCUUGUCAUAUAUUUGUAUCUUAGU
rnacentral:lncRNA from 1 species